rnacentral:rRNA from 1 species
AUGUGGCUGGCUCACAAGGAUCGUGUAUACACUAACGAACGAAGGCUGCGUCGCUCCAUCGCUACCUCGGAUGCCUGCCCGCUCUGUGGCACUUGCGAGAGUAUCACUCACCUCCUCCUCCGCUGCCCCUCUCUACGGCCGCUAUGGGAUGAGCUCUAUAGCCUCUACAGGGGCUCGCCCAACAACAUUGCAGAUAUCUGGCGGAUGGCUCCGAGGGAUAAAGUUCGCUCUACAGUUCUCAUCGCAAUUUUUUGGAACACAUGGAAGCGCCGAAACGCCAAGGUCUUUCGCCAGGAGACCCUGCACAUUCACCACAUUGCUAGGGUUGCGGCGGAUGAUCUCAAGCUUUGGUCUCAACGAUGCAAGAAUGCUCGGCGCAAAUCGCUCCUCCAAGAAUGGAGCUCUAUGUUGUCAAACAUUGCCGCGAGAUUGUAA